rnacentral:rRNA from 1 species
UACGUAGGGUGCAAGCGUUGUCCGGAAUUAUUGGGCGUAAAGAGCUCGUAGGCGGUCUGUCGCGUCGGCUGUGAAAUCCCGAGGCUCAAGUUCGGGUCUGCAGUCGAUACGGGCAAACUAGAGUGUUGCAGGGGAGACUGGAAUUCCUGGUGUAGCGGUGAAAUGCGCAGAUAUCAGGAGGAACACCGGUGGCGAAGGCGGGUCUCUGGGCAACAACUGACGCUGAGGAGCGAAAGCGUGGGGAGCGAACAGG